rnacentral:rRNA from 1 species
GAUGAACGCUGGCGGCGUGCCUAAUACAUGCAAGUCGAGCGAACAGACGAGGAGCUUGCUCCUCUAACGUUAGCGGCGGACGGGUGAGUAACACGUGGAUAACCUACCUAUAAGACUGGGAUAACUUCGGGAAACCGGAGCUAAUACCGGAUAAUAUAUUGAACCGCAUGGUUCAAUAGUGAAAGACGGGUUUGCUGUCACUUAUAGAUGGAUCCGCGCCGCAUUAGCUAGUUGGUAAGGUAACAGCUUACCAAGGCAACGAUGCGUAGCCGACCUGAGAGGGUGAUCGGCCACACUGGAACUGAGACACGGUCCAGACUCCUACGGGAGGCAGCAGUAGGGAAUCUUCCGCAAUGGGCGAAAGCCUGACGGAGCAACGCCGCGUGAGUGAUGAAGGUCUUCGGAUCGUAAAACUCUGUUAUUAGGGAAGAAAAAAUGUGUAAGUAACUAUGCACGUCUUGACGGUACCUAAUCAGAAAGCCACGGCUAACUACGUG